GCUCCCGUAGCUCAACUAUCAGAGUGCCGCGCUUCGAACGCGGAGGUUGCAGGUGGGAUUCCUGCCGGGAGUGCCA
rnacentral:tRNA from 1 species